rnacentral:rRNA from 1 species
GUGGGGAAUAUUGGACAAUGGGGGGAACCCUGAUCCAGCCAUGCCGCGUGUGUGAAGAAGGCCUUUUGGUUGUAAAGCACUUUAAGCGAGGAGGAGGCUACCGAGAUUAAUACUCUUGGAUAGUGGACGUUACUCGCAGAAUAAGCACCGGCUAACUCUGUGCCAGCAGCCGCGGUAAUACAGAGGGUGCAAGCGUUAAUCGGAUUUACUGGGCGUAAAGCGCGAGUAGGUGGCCAAUUAAGUCAAAUGUGAAAUCCCCGAGCUUAACUUGGGAAUUGCAUUCGAUACUGGUUGGCUAGAGUAUGGGAGAGGAUGGUAGAAUUCCAGGUGUAGCGGUGAAAUGCGUAGAGAUCUGGAGGAAUACCGAUGGCGAAGGCAGCCAUCUGGCCUAAUACUGACACUGAGGUGCGAAAGCAUGGGGAGCAAACAGGAUUAGAUACCCCGGUAGUCC